rnacentral:lncRNA from 1 species
CCUGGGUAUUAGAUACCGGAAGUUCUUAUCAUAUUUGCAAUUCGAUGCAGGGUCAGCAGGUCAGUAGGAGAUUUGAAGAAGACGAGAAGUUCCUGAAUGUUGGAGAUGGAAACAAAGUUCCAGUUCUAGCAUUAAGAAUCAUGAACUUUGUAAUCAAUUCUCGAAAUAUAAUUCUGAGUGAAUGUCACUAUUGUCCAAACUUUUUAUUAAAUAUUAUUUCUGUA